CUCCUCUCCAGAGAUGCACGUCGGUUGCCUUUCGGCUCUCUCCUGCCUCUGCAGUGUGCACAUGCCGACGGUCUGUUACUCUCUGCAAAUCAGGGAUGAAGGACACCGCAAUCCACCAAAGGAGGUUCGCCGACCCGGACAGCGGCCGCCACACAUGGAGGACACAGCCGGUGGACCAGCACCGGAGCAGAGGAGGCCGUCCGGGGUCAACUGUGCUGCCUGUCCGUCAUCCUCCACACAACUAGACUCUGCUGGCUGCCUCCACGCUCUGGCAAUCCGGCUCAAGGACCUUUUUUUUUUUUUUGUUGUGCUGCGAAAGUUCUCCAUGUACUCUUUCGUCUUCUUGAAGUACACGGAGGGUUUCUGUUGAUGUGAAUGCUCAAACAUGC
ensembl:lncRNA